CGCAGUGGAAACAAGCAAGACCCGGCCCGGAAUUCCCGGGACCUGGGUUCGCAUGGGAAGGGUGUUCUGGAAGGGGGAUGCUUAGUGUCUGAGGCGACUUGGGUUGCCCUCAUCUUCCUGGCAGCAACGUGUAAGGGGGAGGGGCAAAAGGAGGGCUGGACUCGGGUACGAAGGGAUUCGGCGCGCUGGCUGCACCGGAGCGGACAGGGCCAGGAUUCAUUGUGUAAUGAAUUGAGUGGUGGGAAAACAGCAAUGAAUGAGACAGAUCCAGUCCUGGCACAAAGAAGGCUGUCCAGACCGGGGGAAGUGACAGGCAUUAACUCUACAGCAUGGAUAACCCUUGGAAACAUUUGGAAAAGUGAAAGAAGCCGGACACAGCGGGUCACAUAGGGUAUGACUUCCUUUGUAUGAAAUGCCCAGAACAGGUAAACACAUAGAGACAGAAACAGAUUGGUGGUUGCCAGGGGUUGGGGGAUGGGGAAUGGAGAUUGACUGCUAGUGGGGAUAGGGCUUCUUUUGGGGGUGAUGGAAAUGUUCUGUAAUUAGAGGUGAUACUUGCACAACUCUUUGAGUAUACAAAAGUCCAGUGAAUUGUACAUUUUAAAAUGUACAGUUGGGGCCAGGUGCAGUGACUCAUGCCUGUAAUCUCAGAACUUUGGGAGGCCAAGGUGGGCGGAUCACUUGAGGUCAGGAGUUCAAGACCAGCCUGGCCAAUAUGGUGAAACCCCAUCUCUACUAAAAAUACAAAAAUUAGCCAGGCAUGGUGGCGCGCAUCUGUAGUCCAGCUACUCAGGAGGCUGAGGCAAGAGAAUCACUUGAACCCAGGAGGCAG
rnacentral:lncRNA from 1 species